rnacentral:lncRNA from 1 species
AAAAUUUAAAUUACAUGUGAGUUCAAUUGCAAUCCUAGAAAAAUAGUUUAGUUCAUAAUAUCUAAUAAAGACUUCAUCCAAAGAAAAUUAGCCAUUAAUUCAAGUAAAAAAAUAAGAAAAUCAUAAAAGUAGAGAAAGAAAACAAAUAAUUGAAGCUUUGUGAUCCUGAUUCUCCUUCCAACUCUCAUGCUUUCUUGCUUUGUUUUUGGCUCUUUUUUUCUAGAGAAACUGCUUGUUGCCUCCUCCUAGAAACAUUUGGAAAAGGUCCCUUAAAUAGCCUCCAAAAGCCCUAACUUCCAAAAUCUCAUAAGCUCGUUAUUUUUGAAAAAUACGUCAAGCGAUGCGGCUCUCAUUUUCCAGAACCGUGGCUCUUAAAGGUUCUGUCUCAAUUUUCUUCUUCUAGUGUAGUACUUUCACUUCAACAAAAAAUUUGACCACUUUUCGAUUAGAACUGAGCAAAGUUGUAAACAUAAAAGUUGUAGCCCUGCCUCUUAGCUUUCUAAUGGCUUAAAACGCAUAUAAUUUGGACUUUUUUAGUAGGAGAUAUACUUGAAAAACCAAAACAUAUGCAAACAAAGCAACAGUCCAUUAUGCAC